UAAGAUGAGAGUUUGAUCCUGGCUCAGGACGAACGCUGGCGGCGUGCCUAAUACAUGCAAGUCGAACGAGUCCUCCCAAUUUGAUUUUAUGCUUGCAUAAAUGAUUUUUGGAUUCGGGACGAGUGGCGAACUGGUGAGUAACACGUGGGUAACCUGCCCUGAAGUAGGGGAUAACAUUUGGAAACAGAUGCUAAUACCGUAUAAUUAGUUGGAACCACAUGGUUCCAACUUGAAAGAUGGCUCUGCUAUCACUUU
rnacentral:rRNA from 1 species